rnacentral:rRNA from 1 species
UACGUAGGUGGCAAGCGUUGUCCGGAAUUACUGGGUGUAAAGCGCGUGUAGGCGGGAGGCCAAGUCUGCUGUGAAAUCGCUCGGCUCAACUGGGCGGGUCGGUGGAAACUGGUCACCUGGAGGACGGUAGAGGCGAGUGGAAUUCCCGGUGUAGUGGUGAAAUGCGUAGAGAUCGGGAGGAACACCAGUGGCGAAGGCGGCGACCUGGGCCAAGAUUGACGCUGAGGUGCGAAAGCGUGGGGAGCAAACAGGAUUAGAAACCCU